CGUCAGUUUCAAAACGGAAUAAACUCGUGUCACGAAAAUGACAAACGCUAGGUCGAAAAGAUUAAUCGAAUCGAAUUUUUAUUUCUUUUCUUCUGUCGAAUUCGAUUCGAAUUUGAAAACAUCAAAAUUUCAAAUCGUUGCGGUAACUAAUAUUCUUAAAAUUAAAAUUGUGAAAUACUAAUAAACAUAAGUUAUUAAAAGAAGUGCAUAAAAAUAUUUUGAGGGAACGAAUAUAAUAUUCAAAAUCAAAAAAUGGAGUCCAUGCCUUCAGAUGCUGAAUCUAAUGUCAGCGGGUUUAUUAGAUACAGCGACAAAAAGUUUAAACAUCUGUAUAAAUCCAUGAUUCAGAAUAUGGAAAUAAUUAACCAGGACAUUAUACAAGUUGAAAAGAACAUGAAGAAUAUUGUAGAACAGGCUGGCCCUCUAGAAACUCAGUUAUCUGCUCUAUUGCACACACUGCCCAAGCCUAACCUCACACUGCCUAUGGAGACUGAAUGAAAAUAAUUACUAAUCUCAUUUUUUUAAUCCUUGUUGUUUCAAUUUAAGACAGUUGUUACAUUAGGGAGGAUACAGAUCUUCAACAGAAUUUAACACCAUUCUCCUUCGAACUUGAGAAGAUUCAACUACUACAGUAACUAUAUUUUUUUUGAGAGAGAAUCAAAAAAUAAUCCUGAUUUGUAAAAAGUGUAACUGCUUUUCUGUGACACAUUCAUCAAAAUCUACAGUUUUGAUUUUAUCAAGAUGGAAGAAGACAAAUCAACUGAUUUAAGAUACAUUAUUUUGACUGUCAUUUAUUCAUUUGUCCUUUAACUAAAAUGUUUGAUUAAGUUAAUAAAACAGUGCUCAGGGCCCCAAAGUAACGAAUGUUCUCCUAGUAUGUUCUGUCUCAAUCACUGCCUUGACAAUCACUGCCUUCUGUAUCUGAUCCUUGGUCCAGCAAUUAAGGGAUAAUUAAUGUAUUUAAUUAUCAUAAUUGAAAUUAAGUGAAAAAUCAUUAUUUUUAUGUUUUUAAUCAAUAAAAUACUAACACACAGACUUGUUGACACUUGUGUGUCUAGGUUUAACUUUUAGAAAUAAAAAUGUUGCAAUUGGUUUAAUAUAAUAUAAUGUUUUUGUAAUAUAUAAAAUGUUUAGCUUUAAUUUAAUUUUAUAAAUUAUUAUUUUAAGUUUAUACUCUUGAAUAUAGAUAUUGUUAAUUUACAAUCAUAAAAUAAUAGUAAGGAUAUUAUUUUAGUAUAUACCUAUAAUGGUUUAAUUAUAUUAUAUAAGCAAUUGAGCAGUGUUUAAUGAUUUUAUUCUGUAAUGAGUAAAUAAAUGCACAAAAAUUGGUAA